CUGCAACACGUUCACCUUCGUCUGAUACUCGCACGAGGGCACGCAGCAACGCGAGCGACAUUCAUCCAGUGAAUGUGGCUGCAACACGUUCACCUUCGUCUGAUACGCGCACGAGGGCACGCAGCAACGCAACUGGGAACAAAAAAAGAGAAUGUGUCUGCAUCACCUUUACCUUUACCAUCACCUGCUACUCACACACGCUGUAGGUCUCUUUCAGUUCUCAAAGCAACUGAGACUAAUGUGUGUUCAGUUAAAUAGGAACUGUUUUGUGCAAUGGCAUGACGACAUUUAAACUCCAUUCUCAAAGAUUCACAGUGUGUGAUGGCUUACAAAUUUAUAUCUUAUUUUUUAUAUUGUAAAGAAUCAUUCCAUACAAUAAAGCUUCUUGACUCUUGA